rnacentral:rRNA from 1 species
GAUGAACGCUGGCGGCGUGCCUAAUACAUGCAAGUCGAACGAAGACUCUUGGUAGUAAUAUCGAGAGUUCUUAGUGGCGAACGGGUGAGUAACGCGUUGGUGACCUGCCCCGAAGCGGGGGAUAACAGAUCGAAAGGUCUGCUAAUACCCCAUGUUGUCAUCAUUUUUAGAAAGUGAUGACCAAAGGAGUAAUACACUUUGGGAGGGACCUGCGUCCCAUCAGCUUGUUGGUGAGGUAGUGGCUCACCAAGGCGACGACGGGUAGGGGGCCUGAGAGGGUGGCCCCCCACACUGGCACUGAAACACGGGCCAGACACCUACGGGUGGCAGCAGUAGGGAAUAUUGCACAAUGGGCGAAAGCCUGAUGCAGCAACGCCGCGUGUGCGAAGAAGGCCUUCGGGUCGUAAAGCACUUUUCUGGGAGAAGAGUAAGGACGGUAUCCCAAGAAUAAGGAUCGGCUAACUACGUGCCAGCAGCCGCCGUAAGAC